rnacentral:lncRNA from 1 species
UUCUUUUCCUUCCUUUCUUUUCUUUGCUCAUUCUUUCUUUUAUUCUCUUCCUUUCUUUUCUUCAUUUUUCUUUUAUUUCCUUUUACUUCUUUUUCUUCAUAUUUUCUUUAUUUUCUUCUUUCAUCUUCUCUUUUUAUGUGGAUAAGUUUUAGAGUCCUGAAUAGUUGAACUCAUCCCAAUCUUAUUUUUCCAUGAGAAUGAAAUGGAGCAAUCGGAAUGC